rnacentral:rRNA from 1 species
CCUACGGGAGGCAGCAGUGGGGCAUAUUGGGCAAUGGGCGCAAGCCUGACCCAGCAACGCCGCGUGAAGGAAGAAGGCUUUCGGGUUGUAAACUUCUUUUAUUGAGGACGAAACAAAUGACGGUACUCAAUGACUAAGCCACGGCUAACUACGUGCCAGCAGCCGCGGUCAUACGUAGGUGGCAAGCGUUAUCCGGAUUUCCUGGGUGUAAAGGGCGUGUAGGCGGGACGGCAAGUCAUAUGUGAAAACCAUGGGCUCAACGUGGGAACUGCCUUUGAAACUGGCAAACUGGAGUGUGUGAGAGGAUAGUGGAAGGCCAGGUGUAGGAGUGAAAUCCGUAGAUAUCGCGAGGAACAUCAGUGGCGAAGGCGACUAUCUGGCACAUAACUGACGCUGAGGAGCGAAAGCGUGGGUAGCAAACAGGAUUAGAUACCCUGGUAGUC